GUAAUUUCAUAUAAAUUCAUUAUUUAAGUGUAUGUGAAAACUCAUGUAAAAUGUCGUUACAUAUAGUACUAUUAUAGUUAGUAUUAUUGUACAAUCUUUUCCUGAAAUCCUGAAAUGCCUCUUUUGUCUAUUUCUAUCUGCAAAUAUAUCUAGGACAAGGAAAUGUGUCAUUAAGCUCUGUCCUUUUUUUUUUUUGUCCUUUUUGUUAUCGUCGUUACUGUGAUGUUUCGAUCACACACAGUUACUAUUAUUUAGAUUACAAAAUGAAAACAGCUUUAUCACCAUUCUUAUGAACUACCUUCUGUUCAAUACUACCUCCUUGAGUAUUUAUUUAUCCUGCAGGUUUGAGGAUUUGUUUCACCCAACCCUUGUUCGUGGGCAACCUGGUGUUUCAACAUCGCAAGUAAACAUGUGUGUGCACAAUUUCUUUUAAGAUGUGUUUUUAGACUUUAAGCAGUUCAGAAAAGGCCACGUUUCUAUUAAAGGUGGCAGGUCUCUGGGUUAACGAAACCUAUGAGUACUUAGAAGAACAUCUGUAAAUCAAAAUUUUGGUCAGACCAAAAUUGGGGAGGGAAGCUGGAGAAUUUCCUUUUAUAAAGAAAAAGGCAAGAUCAAACUCAAAAAGCUAACUGCACUCAGAAAAUGUUUAAUUUUUCUGUCUUCAGAAAUCACAGGAUACACCUACAGAGGCUUUGUGAUUUCAUCCAGUUCCCAUGUCACCUCCGAGAGCUGUUCUCAGAUGAUCAACAACCCACAGCUAAUAUUUACUAAGUGCUUGCUCUUGAUGUCGAGUGACUGGUGCUCAGUAGACACUGGUUUCCUCCCUUCCUUCCUGGCUGCUUUGAAGAGAAUAACAGAGGAGAUCACCAAAGCUUCCCAGACCGGAGUGAUUUUUUUAAAUACCAAAGAAGUCAAGGGCUAUGGCUGGAACUUUGCUGAUAGCCAAGCAAAGAUACAUAAGCAAUGGGGAGAAGACUGCACAUUUACCCCUGAUGGAGGAGGGAAAAGGAUACCAGAAUGUUCUUAUGAGCCAAGAGGAAGCCAAAGACCUGACCUUGGGGUUGUUGGAAAAGACCUGUCUUUGAAAGUUUCUUGCCAAAGGAAAGGGACCAUCAGCGAAAAGAGACUGGAAGAUACCACUGGGUACAGAGACUAA
rnacentral:lncRNA from 12 species